GUCAAUGACCAUACCACGUUGAAUACACCAGUUCUCGUCCGAUCACUGAAGUUAAGCAAAUUCGGGCGUAGUUAGUACUUAGAUGGGGGUGACCGCUUGGAAACACUUCGUACUAUUGGCA